UUGAUUCUCAGGAUAUGAAUCAUUUUAAUCUCUUCCACAUCAACACCAUAUCAACCAUCGAUCAAAUAUUUUUACCAUUGGUUAACUACCUUUCUUAUUCCUUCCAUCUUAGCACAAUGUACAAAUACUAAAGCAAAAACUUGUUAUUUUGGAAUUACCAAAAUAGGCCUAUAAUGAAUUUAUGAUAUUAUGAUAGUGAAAAACGUCAAAAACCUAAUAAGUUAAUAGUAACAAAAACGAAAAACUUAUGGUCGGAGUCGGACUGGAUCAAUGUGGUGUGGGCCAGAAAGUUAAAAACGAACCCGACCUGGUAUUUUAUUAUUAUUAUUUUUUGAAACUGAGUUGCGAAAGUAUUUUUAUUGUGUAGCUUCAAAUCAGGUCAGAGGGGGGUACGAUGAUUCUGUAGCUUCAGAAGUUUGCCGCCAAUUUGAUCAACACAUUGAGGCUAACCUCCAUUUCAGGGACGAAAUCGUUUCCGAUUUGAUACUUCAAUGCCUUCCUUCAUACAAACAGGAUGCUUGGUGUUGCUGGAGAAGAAGAGCCUUUUAGUGGGAGGCCAAAAGGGUGAUGGGGUUUAUAUAGAGACAGAUCAACCAGAAAGAGGUACUUCAGCUAGCAAGGGGAAGGGCUCGGGAUGAUAGCAUGACACACACCACAGUUUUAGCCUGGGAGUUAGACUCUGAUAUUUUUGACAUGAUCUUGACAUUAGUUUUGAUAUGAGACAUAUUUUAUGACAUUUUGAGACGCACGACUUAUGGUUUUCUUAUAUGCUAUUUGGAUAUUAUGUUUUUAGAAAUGUUUUCAAACGAAA